AUACUUACCUGACAGGGGAAAUCCAUGAUCACCAAGGUGGUUUUCCCAGGGUGAGGCCCAUCCAUUGCUCUGUGGGUGAGUUGACCUCUGUGAUUUCCCCAAAUGUGGGAAACUCAACUGCAGAAUUUGUGGUCGUGGGGGACUGCGUUCGCACUUUCCCCUG